CGACCUCAGAUCUGACAUGGCGACCCGCCGAAUUUAAGCAUAUUACUAAGCAGAGGAAAAGAAACUAACCAGGAUUCCCUCAAUAAUGGCGAGUGAAGAAAGAAAAGCCCAGGGGUGAAUCCCCACCCAGGAGAUGAGCACAGGGAAAUGUGGCAUAUGGAAGUCCAUCUCCUGGUGCUGCCCAGGGGGCCCAAGUCCUUGUGAUCGAGGCUCAGCCCACGCACGGUGUGAGGCCGGUGGCAGCCACCGGUGCAUCGGGAUCAGGUCUUCCCGGAGCUGAGUUGUUUGUGAAUACAGCCCAAAGUGGGUGGUAAACUCCAUCUAAGGCUAAACACCGGCACAAGACUGAUAGCAGACAAGUACCAUAAGGGAAAGUUGAAAAGAACUUUGAAGAGAGAGUUCAAGAGGGUGUGAAACAGUUCAGAGGUAAACGGGUGGGGUCCAUGCUGACAACCCAGAGGAUUCAACCUCUGGAGGGGAGGGGGACUGUCCCCGGGCAUGCCGGCCACCAUUGGGCACACUUCCUCCAUGGCAGUGCACCAUGACUGGCUUUGGGUCAGCUGGGAAGGCCGCACAGAAGGUGGCUCCCCUCCUCAGUGGGGAGUAUUACAGCUCAUGGCAUCAGCUCUCACCAUGCCCCAGGGUCGUGGGAGAUGACCGUUACUGCACCCUCCCCCACCCUUGUGGCAGGGGCCAGGGGCUCCCAGUGGGAAUGUCGACUGAGCUGGACUGCCCUCAGUGUGGCCCAACCACAUUCUGCCACCAGGCCAGCAGGCUCACCUCAGGUGCCCAGGGUCUACGGUGACAUCGGUGACCCACCCAUCCCAUCAUCUUGAAGCAUGGACCAAGGAGUCUAACAGAUGCGCAAGUCCGAGGGUGGGCAGGAGACCUCACGGCACAAUGAAAGUGAGGGCUGGCAUGUGCCAGCUGAGGCAGGAUCCCCCCACUCCACAUGGGGAGCCCACCUCCAGCCCAUUUCACCCGUCUUGUCGGGGAGGUGGAGUGUGAGCGCACCUAGUGGGACGCAAAAGAUGGUGAACUAUGCCUAGGCAGGGCGAAGGCAGAGGAAACUCUGGUGGACGUCCAUAGUGGUCCUGACGUGCAAAUUGGUUAUCUGACCUGGGUAUAGGGGUGAAAGACUAAUCAAACCAUCUAGUAGCUGGUUCCCUCCGAAGUUUCCCUCAGGAUAGCUGGCGCUUGACUGAUGUAGUUUUAUCUGGUAAAGCGAAUGAUUAGAGGUCUUGGGGCCGAAACGAUCUCAACCUAUUCUCAAACUUUAAAUGGGUAAGAAGCCCGACUCGCUGGCUUCGAGCCAGGCGUGGAAUGCGAGUGCCCAGUUUGCCACUUUUGGUAAGCAGAACUGGCUCUGCAGGAUGAACUGAAUACUGGGUUAAGGCGCCCAAUGCUGACGCUCAUCAGACCCCAGAAAAGGUGUUGGUUGAUAUAGACAGCAGGACGGUGGCCAUGGAAGUCGGAAUCUGCUAAGGAGUGUGUAACAACUCCCUGCCAAAUCAACUAUCCCUGAAAAUGGAUGGCACUGGAGCAUCGGACUCAUACCCUGCCAUCUCCAGUGCUUGGAGCCAGGGUGGCUAUGCCACAACAAGUAGGAGGGCUGUCGCGGUGGCACUGAAGCCCAGGGUGUGGGCCCGGGUGGAGCCGCCACUGGUGCAGAUCUUGGUGUUAGUAGCAAAUAUUCAAACGAGAGCUUUGAAGGCCAAAGUGGAAAAGGGUUCCAUGUGAACAGCAGUUGAACAUGGGUUAGUCGGUCCUGAGAGAUAGGCGAGUGCCGUUCCAAAGGGACAGGCGAUGGCCUCCAUCACCCUUGGCUGAUUGAAAGAGAGUGGGGUUCAGAUCCCCGAAUCCAGAGUGGUGGAGAUGGGUGCCUCGUGGCGUCCAGUGCAGUGAUGCAAACGAUCUUGGAGAAGCUGGUGGGGGCCCCUGGGAGAGUUCUCUUUUCUUUGUAAAGGCAGGGCACCCUGGAAUAGGUUCGCCCCAAGAGAGGGGCCCACACCCUGGAAAGUGUCGAGGUUCCCGCGGCAUCAGGUGAGCUCUCGCCGGCCCUUGAAAAUCCGGGGAGAGGGUGUAAGUCUCGUGCCAGGCCGUACCCAUAUCUGCCGCAGGUCUCCAAGGUGAACAGCCUCUGGCAUGUUAGAACAAUGUAGGUAAGGGAAGUCAGCAAGCCAGAUCCCUAACUUCGGGAUAAGAAUUGGCUCUAAGGGCUUGGUCGGUCGGGCUCGGGUGUGAAGCGGGGCUGGGCACACACCACAGCUGGACAAGGUGUUGCCCCCUCGCCUCACUGCCCACUUCCAGGGGGGCUGGGGGGGUUGGCUGUGGCAACUUUGGAUACGUGCAGGGCCCUUCCUGUGGAUCACCCUGGUUGUGGUGGGCACCGGUCCAGACCAGCGUCCCGCAUCGUCCGGCAGCUAGCAGCUAACUUAGAACUGGUGCGGACUGGGGGAAUCUGACUGUUUAAUUAAAACAAAGCAUCGCGAAGGCCCAA